GACGGGAGCUUGCUCCUUGAUUCAGCGGCGGACGGGUGAGUAAUGCCUAGGAAUCUGCCUGGUAGUGGGGGACAACGUUUCGAAAGGAACGCUAAUACCGCAUACGUCCUACGGGAGAAAGCAGGGGACCUUCGGGCCUUGCGCUAUCAGAUGAGCCUAGGUCGGAUUAGCUAGUUGGUGGGGUAAUGGCUCACCAAGGCGACGAUCCGUAACUGGUCUGAGAGGAUGAUCAGUCACACUGGAACUGAGACACGGUCCAGACUCCUACGGGAGGCAGCAGUGGGGAAUAUUGGACAAUGGGCGAAAGCCUGAUCCAGCCAUGCCGCGUGUGUGAAGAAGGUCUUCGGAUUGUAAAGCACUUUAAGUUGGGAGGAAGGGCAGUAAGCUAAUACCUUGCUGUUUUGACGUUACCGACAGAAUAAGCACCGGCUAACUCUGUGCCAGCAGCCGCGGUAAUACAGAGGGUGCAAGCGUUAAUCGGAAUUACUGGGCGUAAAGCGCGCGUAGGUGGUUCGUUAAGUUGGAUGUGAAAGCCCCGGGCUCAACCUGGGAACUGCAUCCAAAACUGGCGAGCUAGAGUACGGUAGAGGGUGGUGGAAUUUCCUGUGUAGCGGUGAAAUGCGUAGAUAUAGGAAGGAACACCAGUGGCGAAGGCGACCACCUGGACUGAUACUGACACUGAGGUGCGAAAGCGUGGGGAGCAAACACGAUUAGAUAUCCUGGUAGUGCACGCCGUAAACGAUGUCAACUAGCCGUUGGAAUCCUUGAGAUUUUAGUGGCGCAGCUAACGCAUUAAGUUGACCGCCUGGGGAGUACGGCCGCAAGGUUAAAACUCAAAUGAAUUGACGGGGGCCCGCACAAGCGGUGGAGCAUGUGGUUUAAUUUGAAGCAACGCGAAGAACCUUACCAGGCCUUGACAUGCAGAGAACUUUCCAGAGAUGGAUUGGUGCCUUCGGGAACUCUGACACAGGUGCUGCAUGGCUGUCGUCAGCUCGUGUCGUGAGAUGUUGGGUUAAGUCCCGUAACGAGCGCAACCCUUGUCCUUAGUUACCAGCACGUUAUGGUGGGCACUCUAAGGAGACUGCCGGUGACAAACCGGAGGAAGGUGGGGAUGACGUCAAGUCAUCAUGGCCCUUACGGCCUGGGCUACACACGUGCUACAAUGGUCGGUACAGAGGGUUGCCAAGCCGCGAGGUGGAGCUAAUCUCACAAAACCGAUCGUAGUCCGGAUCGCAGUUUGCAACUCGACUGCGUGAAGUCGGAAUCGCUAGUAAUCGCGAAUCAGAAUGUCGCGGUGAAUACGUUCCCGGGCCUUGUACACACCGCCCGUCACACCAUGGGAGUGGGUUGCACCAGAAGUAGCUAGUCUAACCUUCGGGAGGACGGUUACCACGGUGUGAUUCAUGA
rnacentral:rRNA from 1 species